UGCAAGGAACCAACCGCAUGCCUCGACUUGGAAUUCCCCGCCACCACAGCAAGUUCCCGCAAAACCGCACUCGCCCCAACCCGACCCGUACAAUCCCAGCCCACCUCGCAGACCCCUACUUCCUGGGUAGUCAGGUGGACGACACCAAUCUGCUAAACCCCGUCACAGCUUACAUAUCCGCAAACCCGCCAACAACACCUCCCACCUGUGCUUAUGACUCCCGACCGAGAUGGGCAGACACUGGGGAUUUCAUGAUUGCACCUGAGCCUCCAACCUGGCCGAACAUCACUGGUGCCACACCGGGGGACAGCCACGACCCCCGCCAGGCUGACCACGACCCACAAGGACAAAUGCGUGCAGAAUAUAUGCAGGAGCGUGGACGCCUCCGUGCACACUUGGAUGACCACCCACCCCAACCAAGACCCUUCAAGCGUUGGAUGGGAAUCCGACUCCAGCUCCUGACAGGCAAAAUACCCUGGCCGACGCAGGCAUACCACGUUGCCCAAGCAGCGAAGCAACUAGUGUACUCCCUGUAUCACGACAUUGAGGAAAUCUCGCACAUUCAAGCUGGGCCCAUCACUAAAGCCGUCACUGCCCCAGAGAAGGGUGACAGUCUCCACACCGAGCGCUACUAUGAGGUAGCUUGGAAGGACACAACCAUCGUUAAAGGAGCGGCUGAGGCCUACACCCGCAUGAAGUAUACUGGGACUGCUGCCGCACACAUGGGAUACGGGCAAGCGUGCUGCAAACAUUUCCUGCGCAUGAAAUGGGACCCCACCAGCGAACCCGUAGACAAAUGCCCCACCCUCCAAGGGUGGACCCCUGCCAUCUCCGAACACUUGCGGAAACUUGCAGAACCCCCUACACCCAUGCCACAACCCAAGCCCAAAGACGCCCGUCUUACACCUGCCCAACAGCAAGGGCGAUGGACGCAAGCCGACGUGGCCGCGUCCCACGUCCGACGUACCACCAAACAGAACACGCGCAUUGACACCAACCCGUGCAAUCCCUACCUCGACGUCCACCCCACCGGAAGGUAUACAAUCCAAAUCCCAGACACAUACACUGAUGAACGCACCCUCGCCCACGUCUACAGCCCUACCGGACGCCACAUAGCAUCCAUUACGCUAGGCACCUUGCUGACUCUUAAAGCUCGGUAUGAACACGCCCUAUCUACCCACCAUGACGCAACCAGCCCGCACCGAUCUCAAGGGGGCUUCCCGGAAGACUUGGCUAAACUGCUACUCCGCGCUCGGGUAGACAGCAAAGGCAAGACAUGCAAGUCGGCCCCCGCACGUGAGCGCUCUCUCCCCGAGUCCCUGAAGCUGGCGCUGUAUAACUGCCUUGCCUCGACACACUCAGACCCUGACCGCCCAGUGGGGCUGGUGGAACGCUUUGCCUCUCCACUCAACUGCUCGGGCCGGGCCACUAAAUAUUACAGCCAACACGCAGCUGACUCCCUCUUCGGGGCCUCACAUGAUGCGUACACGGCCCCGUUUGAUGGCCUUUCCCUCGCCCACCCUGACCCUGACCCAGACGCCUGCACAAAGGCACUGGCGUGGGCAACAGCAUCGAUCGAACACCUAGAACACCAGGCCACCCCCGCCAUUACCUUCAUGAUUAUCCCACAAGGCAAAGGCGCCGCCAGCCGGUGCCUUGCGAGUCCGCAUGUCACCAUCCUGGCCCUGAUUCCGCCUGGCGUAUCCGCCUCUAGCAUGUUAGAUGGCCUCGGGGCGGCCGACGAGGCUGCCAGCAGCAAGCAGGGCCUGCAGCUACUCCUCAUUGCGAACACCACAGGGGUACAAGCACUCAACUCCAACAACAACCUGACACGUCUCCAAACCUCCCUGGCCGAACUUGGAGCGGUGCCGCCACCGACCUCGCAACCCCCAGGGCGCCGACAACCACUGGAGUGGCCCGCGCGCGUAACCCUCCCCCGUGACCGAACAGCCCCACCGGGCCGACCAUACAGCCACCGUGCAAAAGCCCGUGCAAAGCAGCUAACUAGACCCCAAGCCCCAGCAGCACGGGGCCUGGACACAUGCCCUACGCCCAUGCCCACGCUCUCUGCCCUCUACACCACACGAGCUGCCUUCCCCACUCGGAGCAGCUACCUGUACGAUGCCGCCACCAUUGUUUGGACCGACGGAUCUUGCAUCAAAGUUGCAGCCGGUGAAGAUGGCAACGAAAUGAACAAACUCGGUGCUUGCGCGUGGUCCCAACAGACCGAACACAUAUACGUCGAACCAGGCGGCCUCAACAGCACCAACACAAUCCAGAGAGCCGAACUAUCAGCCAUUCUCGUUGCGUUAGAAUACAUCCGCCCCCGACUCUGUCUGCUGGGCAUGACCCAAGUAACCAUAGCCAGUGAUUCCCUAGUGUCUCUCUACUUGAUCCGCCGAGCCCUUACUGCACCACAACGACUCCUACUAUCCAAGCAUAAAAACCUGCUGGAAAACAUACUCCACGAGCUACAAAUGUAUGCCGACGCCGGGGUCCCAGUCCAGCUGCUGAAAGUCCGCUCUCACACAGGGCUCCACGGCAACGAGGAAGCUGACAAAGGUGCCGCCAAAGUCGCCGCCAACGACAUGGAGGCCAUGGGGCAGGCCAUACGCUUAGCACCAGACGAACCGUGGUCCAACAUCUGGUGGCCCAAACGCAACUCUGACAAUUUCUACCUAAGUGACCUAAACCGUGGAGUCCUGAACUCAUUGCCCCCCGAAGCACAACAAGGCUUUACCAAUAAUACACCAGUGCUGGAGCAAUGGGCGGAAGCAUCUGCCAACAUGUGCCCCACCCUCAGCAACCGCACCCUCGCCAGCUCCACCAGGCACCCCUGGCUGGUCAAGCAAAUACUCUACGCCCGCUACGGCUACCUCUUCAACGCACAGCUUAAACGGCGCUACCGCNNNNNNNNNNNNNNNNNNNNNNNNNNNNNNNNNNNNNNNNNNNNNNNNNNNNNNNNNNNNNNNNNNNNNNNNNNNNNNNNNNNNNNNNNNNNNNNNNNNNGCGCAACCACACCACCAACGCACGCGCUGCUCCCCAGCAUUGCCGACAGCACCAACUUCGACUCGUGCAUUGACCACCUGAGCCGCAACAAGUCCCCAGGACCAGAUGGCAUACCCAAUGAGUUGCUUCGCGCCUUACCGCAAACCUUGCGUACCACUCUGCAUAACCUCCUUACCCUGAUGUGGGUGAGGGCACACACACCAGCCUCGUGGACGGCCAGUGAAACAGUCCUGCUUCCCAAACCAGGAGACCCGCUCCUCCUAAAAAAUUACCGGCCCAUUGCACUUGCCAAUACUACAUAUAAACUCUGGACAAGCCUUAUAACCGUAGCCAUAUCUGACAUCUCACACGACCUAGACUUAUUCAGCGAGACACAAGAAGGGUUUCUGCGGUACCGCAACACGGAACGACAAACUCUAAACCUAGUGCACGCACUAGAAGAUGCAGGCCUGACCAAACAAGACAUAUAUGUGAUGUAUGCCGACUUCUCAAGCGCCUUCAACACAAUCUCACACGACAGGCUUCUGGAAAUUAUGUGGGACCUAGGCAUGCCACACGACCUAAUUCGUGUGGUCCAAAACCUCUACUCCAAUGCGCGCACCUACAUACGCUCUGAACAUGGCCUGACUGCCCCUAUCUACAUUGAACGUGGCACCGUACAAGGAGACACACUCUCACCCGUCCUAUUCCUGGUGUUCAUAGAACCACUCAUCCGCUGGCUGCAUGUCGGGGGGCGCGGCUACUCCUACGGCUGCCUACCACCCCACCUGAAUGCCCGCUACAACUGCUCCUCCGCAGCCUACGCCGAUGACCUGGCAGUGCUUACAAACACCUUAAGCGACCUCCGAAUCCAAUGCGACAAAAUACACCGGUACUCUGAGUGGGCAGGCCUCCAGGUUAACCACGCAAAGUGCAGAGUCACUGGUAUCCUGCACCGCAGAGCCAUGCAAGACAAGGGUCUGAACGGGCCCACAUGCAACCGUACACUAAGAUCAAUGCUGGAAAACAAAAUCCGCAUUGGCACCACAAGUAUACCCUACCUUCCAGCGACGGAACCGUUCAAGUACCUCGGUGUGCAAGUCACAAUGACCCUAAACUGGGGGCCCCAAUUUGCGUACCUAUGCAAAAAUAUCACGGACAAAAGCCUAAGCCUCCAAACGUGUCAAGCCUCACCAGAGCAAUGCCUGCGCAUCAUCAAAUCGUGCAUUCAAUCCGUUGCUGCAUAUAGUUUCGCCGUCAUGCCCUACACGGAAAAUGACAUACGCACACUUGACAAUAUGAUCGCACGACUGGCCAGAACAUGCUAUCGCCUCAGCCGCGGGUUCCCCACGCGAGCCGUCCUAACGCCAGCAGAAAUGUCGGGCCUAGGAGUCGGCUCCCUGCUCCCAAUCUAUGUGCAGAAAGCAACACGGGCCCUAACAUUGGCCCUGAAUGACCCAGGCCGCCUGGGAAUGGUCACAAAUGCCCUGCUUGAACUACAGACCAGAAUAGCCGGCACUACAGACAUGCACAAACUCCGCCAUGAAAGCCACUACUAUACGACACUGAAACAACUCAGCAUCAUGCGCGCCUAUAACCUCACCAUAUGGGACCACGGGGCCCCAUACAAAGGGCCACCCAACACACUGCUCACCGCAAUCAGCCGCAGCUCACACCCUAUCUCACACCACUUGGUCCUUACCUUGACACAAGCCGGCCUUGAUUUGCGAAACCUUGUAGGUAAAGAGCGUACACCCGAGGGGCGCGCAUGCCUCAUUCCUUCUGACGUCCUCUUCCAACACCUGCCACGCAACCAAUGCCAGCAUAAGCACCGAGUGGCCCUAAACCGCCUUAGCCUAUGCCUGAGCGCGGAAUGCGAUGGUGCCCGUGAGGCACCUUUCAACCAGGCUGAAAACUACAAAUGUCACUUACCCCUUCCGCAGCGAUACAGAGCCCUCCCCAACACGCCAGCCUUUGCCGCCCUCCUACCCCGCAAUACCACCCCGGGCGAGCUAACAACCCAAUCUACGAUGGACGCCCACCUCCAACACAUGACUGCAUUACACCCCAAUACCGAGGCUCAAACACCCCAACACCCAAAUGGCCUAGGCCCCCGCCAGCGCCAAACCACGUUAGCCCACAUGCUGAGAACAACAGGUGCCCCACCCACAGCACCAACCCAGUCGCCAACGGCAACUCUAACCCAAACUCCGACAGGCACACUGCCUACCCCGCCACUAGCACAACCCAUGCCACCGCCACUAACACAGCCCACGCCCCCACUAACAACACCAGCGGGCCCGGACGCCCCCAACACCCAGACACCACCCACAGUAGCGCCCCUCACAACGGCCCACCAGCAGCCAAAAAGUAAGAAACAACGACCCAACGCCAUCAAGCGCCUACAGCAAAAGAUUGAUGCUGACCCCCGGCACGACCCACUGCCACCUACCGAUAUGCGCAGCCACACAGAGAAAUCUGGCUUUAUACUAAACAACGACCCCGAUGAAAAUGACUCCGGUCCCCCGAACUUUGUCAUGUGGGCACCACACUACUUUGCCAAUGUACAAAAAGACAUGCAAGGAACCAACCGCAUGCCUCGACUUGGAAUUCCCCGCCACCACAGCAAGUUCCCGCAAAACCGCACUCGCCCCAACCCGACCCGUACAAUCCCAGCCCACCUCGCAGUCCCGUACUUCCUGGGUAGUCAGGUGGACGACACCAAUCCGCUAAACCCCGUCACAGCUUACAUAUCCGCAAACCCGCCAACAACACCUCCCACC
rnacentral:lncRNA from 1 species